GUAGUCUAAAAUGAAUUUAUGAUCGUAUGCUAUCCAUUUGUUUUUUUGUAUGCUGUUCUUUGUAUGCCAUUUUAAUAUUUGAGAAUUAACCAAUGCUAUUAGGCCACUCUUGGCCAUGAUUACAGACACCUGUGUGUCUUUUGACACUAUAUAAACGAGUCAUCCCGCAGUGUUUGUGAUUAUACCCUGAUGAAGAAAGCUUGGCUGUCGAAACGGUGGAUAUUACAUUUUUGCAUCUGAGCUCCUAGAGUGUGCGGCUCCCCUUUAUUUUCAAGUUUUCUACUCCGCUAGCCAGCACCACGCCUAAAUAGUGUGCGUUUCUUUUUCUCCUAGAUUGUCUGUUUUUGUUUGCCUUAUCUUACAUGUAGUACGGUAAUCGCGAAAUAAAGUUUGUCCAUUUAUUUUGCUGUAGAGUAUGUCGACGUUCAACAAGCCAAUGUGGCUGAAUUUGGUCCAUCAGCUCUUUCUCUAGUACAAGAAUGGCUAGCUAAAGUACUGUAAAAUAUUAUCCAGAUCUGACAUAACAACUACCUUAAAAUGCUUCCAGUAUCCUGCUGUCAAAGGGCAAAAAUGUAUAUAGCGAUGGGAAUGUUGAACAACACACAGCCGCUUGCUCAGAAAGCUGCAAGAUGGUGGACAAGCACAAGCUCUUUUUAAUGGCAGCCAGCAGUCCGAGAACUUCCAAGCAAACAGAUGGUUGACUAUGAUGAGGAGACACAACGUGCUCUUUGUGUAUGUUGGAAAGGAGUCUCCACACAAGGAAGGGGCUCCGGAUGUUUCUUCGAUUCAGAGCAUAGUUUCCAAGAGCAGAGUGAGAGAUAUCACAAUAUAUAUUACAAUAUGUAGCAAUACAAUAUGUAUUAGAAGUUGUUUUGGUCAAAUGAAAUCAGACAUUUUAGUUAACAUAAAUAUCACUAUGUCUGCAGAUAGCAAGCUACUCAGCUCUCCUCAGGCACAGGGCCUAACCUCUGGGGCUAUAGGGGAGAUGGGAAUCAUGAUCUCAAUAUAUGUAAUGAUAUAGAACAUUAUUAGGAAUGAUUUUGAUGAUGUAGAUUGAUGUUGAUAACCGCCUAUGGUGUGGAAUUAGGAACUACAGUUUUCCUGGUCAAGAAGAAAAUCAAGGCCCUAUAAUCAAUUAUAACAUCACUAACAGAUUCAUUUGAUAGUAAAUUAUGUCAAAUGUUAAGGAAUUCAGUGCCUGAAAUCAUGGUAGCAUUCAUAUUCUCCCAGUGUGUUGAUGGACAUUUUAUAAUGAUUAAAAGACACAUUUUCCCCA
ensembl:lncRNA